rnacentral:rRNA from 1 species
CCUACGGGGGGCAGCAGUGGGGAAUAUUGCACAAUGGGCGCAAGCCUGAUGCAGCCAUGCCGCGUGUGUGAAGAAGGCCUUCGGGUUGUAAAGCACUUUCAGCGGGGAGGAAGGCGGUGAGGUUAAUAACCUCAUCGAUUGACGUUACCCGCAGAAGAAGCACCGGCUAACUCCGUGCCAGCAGCCGCGGUAAUACGGAGGGUGCAAGCGUUAAUCGGAAUUACUGGGCGUAAAGCGCACGCAGGCGGUCUGUCAAGUCGGAUGUGAAAUCCCCGGGCUCAACCUGGGAACUGCAUUCGAAACUGGCAGGCUAGAGUCUUGUAGAGGGGGGUAGAAUUCCAGGUGUAGCGGUGAAAUGCGUAGAGAUCUGGAGGAAUACCGGUGGCGACGGCGGCCCCCUGGACAAAGACUGACGCUCAGGUGCGAAAGCGUGGGGAGCAAACAGGAUUAGAUACCCUAGUAGUC